UACGAAGGGGGCUAGCGUUGCUCGGAAUCACUGGGCGUAAAGGGCGCGUAGGCGGCUUAUCAAGUCGGGGGUGAAAGCCCGUGGCUCAACCACGGAAUGGCCUUCGAUACUGGUAGGCUUGAGACCGGAAGAGGACAGCGGAACUGCGAGUGUAGAGGUGAAAUUCGUAGAUAUUCGCAAGAACACCAGUGGCGAAGGCGGCUGUCUGGUCCGGUUCUGACGCUGAGGCGCGAAAGCAUGGGGAGCAAACAGG
rnacentral:rRNA from 1 species